ACUAUCAAGUCAUAAGUCAUAUACACAGAGAUUCUGACAGCAAGGUGCCAGUCAACAUAGCUUGUUGAGACAAGCCUUCAAAUAAUAAACCUAUGUUCAACAAUACUGAAACAAAUGAUCACACAUCAAGUAAUAACACUUUUUGUGCAGAGAGCAGCAAGUGACUAAUCGGGCACAAGAGUGUCCAAGCACAGCAAAUGGGGAAAGCACACAGCCUCUUGCUCUGUUUUGUUUUGGAAAGGCCAAUGAUCAAAGCUAUUUCUAGAAGGAAUCUGGCAGUUCUUUCACUGUGUGACAGAAUCAUUAAAACAGCACGUUGAAGGACUGGAAAAUAAACCACGUCCAGACAAUGGUUUUAAGGUCGUCUUUAAUCCUGGACAAAUGGGAAAACAAGAAAGGCAAGCUCCUUGAGGGCAGCAAGCCUGAUUCAUUUUCGUCUUGCUUUCUGAGUUUAGUGCAGAGUGUUCUCCAAAUGAUUGUCAGGGACAAUGACAGGUUGGAGCUGCUCCUCUUCAAGGCAGCAGCCAAGAGGAAAAGCUGCCACUCGACUCUCCUGUUGCCGAAGUAGGCUUUGAAGAAUACAUAUGCUGUGGAAUGCCACAUAAUGGCUAAUUAACAUAUACAUUGCCUUACAUAGUUAUUUUUGUGAAGAGAACACUUCAAUUCCCAUCAUUAGCAUUUUCAAUAAUUCAAUACAUUGUUUAUUUACUACGUGGAACAAAGCAU